rnacentral:rRNA from 1 species
UACGGAGGGUGCAAGCGUUGUCCGGAUUUAUUGGGUUUAAAGGGUGCGUAGGUGGCUUUUUAAGUCAGUGGUGAAAUUUUGCAGCUCAACUGUAAAACUGCCAUUGAUACUGGAAAGCUUGAGUAUCGUUGAGGCAGGCGGAAUUUAUGGUGUAGCGGUGAAAUGCAUAGAUACCAUAAAGAACACCGAUAGCGAAGGCA